rnacentral:rRNA from 1 species
UACGUAUGGUGCAAGCGUUAUCCGGAUUUACUAGGCGUAAAGGGAGCGCAGGCGGUGCGCCAAGUCUGAUGUGAAACCCCGGGGCUCAACCCCGGGCAUGCAUUGGAAACUGGCGGGCUGGAGUGCCGGAGAGGCAAGCGGAAUUCCUAGUGUAGCGGUGAAAUGCGUAGAUAUUAGGAGGAACACCAGUGGCGAAGGCGGCUUACUGGACGGCAACUGACGCUGAGGCUCGAAAGCGUGGGGAGCAAACAGG